rnacentral:lncRNA from 1 species
CAACGUGUUGUCGUGCUACAGCAAAGUUCCUCUGCUGUGAAGGUGCUGCGUGCUUGUGAAGCCACCUUUGGGUGUGGGAGACCUGAAUGAGUUCCUGCCAUGCAAAGGCAUCAGUGUUAGAUGGGUGUGACACAGAACACCCUGCCCAGAAUUAAAAAUCAAUUGAUGACUCAAAUCUGGAUCCAAUCUACUGAGAAGCAGUUUGCUACUUUCAAAAAGGAUUGACUAAAGGUGGCCAUGAGUGGCCAAUUUCUGAAAGCCCCCAGUUACUCAAUUUCUUGUGAACUCAUCCAAACUGGUGUUUCCUAAGUUUUGUGAUUAAUUGGUCAAUGUCUGGUUUGCUAAUUGUGACUUUUUCUUAGACCACAUUCUCAAGACACCCAGAGACUCUUCCCAAGCAACGUUUGAUUCUAGGGAUGGAGAAGGACUUUUUCUUGGCAAGUCAAAGGACAAUGUGUUGUGAGAUGUAUGAUCAAAGUUUCCACAAGAACUAAUGCUGUUUUAUGAAAUCUUCCAACUUGGUUAAAACAGCUUCUUCCCCGCCUCUUUUUUGCCCAGAUGAAGUUCUGAGAAGCCACAGACACACCCUGGUUUGCUCAGUGAAAAGGAGCCCUCUACGGAUCGUAGCCCCACACACAGAGUGCCCAGGACUAGCGGCUUGGAGGUGCUAUGAAGAUCUUUGCAGAAAUGCUGCCUUUACUCCCAGGGCUGGGCUUCCUCCUCUUGGUUGGUUGGCAGGCAGCUGCUGCAACCUCUGCUGGGACACAUCUGGUAAGGCAAACUUGCGUGUUUAG